CUUUGCGCUUCCGGCACCCACAGUCGGGUUCCAGGUUCCACCGUGGCGCUCGGCUCCACAUUCGGCUCCAGCUCCUCGGGCGCACCACCUCUUUUCUGCCCUCUGUCACCUCCUCACACCCGCCACUCAGCUCACGACUGACAAACCAAGUACUUGCUGAUGGAGACCGAGUUGGUCGAUGAGGCAGAGCUCAGGGGUUACGAAGUUGGGGCCAGUGUAAGGGAACAGAUGGAAAGAACGGUUCGUAAAUCUUUAAACAGCUCUUAAAGGUCAUUUGCAAGAAUAAUUCCUAAGCAUCGGAAAUGUUGGAACAUUCUUGUGUGGGACAAGUGUGCACACAACAAACAUAUCUUUCAGAAAAUCGAAAUGAGAUAGAUGGGAGCAAUGGCAUGUUGCAAUGAAGAUACCUGCCGGGGCUUAGUUAAGCAAAGCAGUCGUGUUAAGAAAGACUAGCAGAGCUUUUCCCAUUGAUGGGAAAUGGUUAUGUCUGUAUCCGUUAGUGCGAAAGCAUUAUGCUCAAGGAGGGGGGAAAAAGUUUAGCAUAAAAAGCCCAUGGAGUUUUAGACUUCAACCGAAUUCUUCCCCAGAGUGCAUCAUCUUAGAAUAUAAAACAAACACAGUCCUGGAUGACCGUAACCCCCACAUUCAAGAAAAGGCAAAUUCAGAAAAUGGGUAAAUUCAAAAUAGUUUGUAGUCUCAUGCUAUUAAAAUUCUUCUGGGUGCUCAUAUAUCCUCCCCCCACCCCAAAGUCUAUAACUAACCAUAUUUUCAAUGGCUCUAGCACCUACAAAAAGAACUACUGACAUAACCAAAAAGAGCUCUCACAUCAAAGGUAAUUUGUACUGGCUGAGCGCCCUGGCUUUGGAACACUGUGAUGUAGCUAUGUGCCCCUGGCCAUGGAUUCAUCACAGGAGAAAUGAGAACACAAGGAUGCUCACCCUCCAAAAGAGUGGUAAAUAUUAAAUUUAAAAACACACACACACACACAAAAAAAAUGUGAUAUAGUUGUCCCAGGUGGUGCUGACCACUUUUAUAGCAAAAGGAGUGUCCGCACACACCGUCUCAAAUACUAGCACAUACUGAACUUUGGGCUUAGUCGAGACAACGCCCUUUGUCGAAACGGGAAGCAGUUGUCUCCAAAUAGAAAAAGGGCUGCAGGGGCCUGGUCUCUGCAUCUUCCAACUCUACAGCCGGGCCUGGAGAACCGAAGGCGAAGCAAACUAGAAAGUGCUCGGCCCUGGUCGCCGGAGGACACAGGUUCUAGACCUGCAUGUAGGGUCGCAGACUUGCGGUGCUAACGCCUGAGGGUUUCCAGGGUUUCCCGCCCGCUUUCACACACCACACAAGCUUAAGACCGAGAAUCACUUCCCAGGAUGGCCUAGGAUGCUCAGUGAUGAACCCACGGCGACCUGAAGCUCCCUGCCUCCAGACCUGACAGCCUCGACACUCUGGGUAAAGUAAAUUAAAAACCCGGACAACGAGUCUUUGCGAAUGAAAACGACUUCGGGAUUCCAAACAGCUGACCCGCUGAGAGCUCCGACUGGGCGUACGCAGGGCGGGUAAGCCAACUCCUACAACGACACGUCACCGUGCUUGGCCGCUGCUUGGCUGGUGGGCGGGGCCACCUCUACUUCCGGAUCCGGCCUCUUCUGGGUAACGCCUCACCUGCGGUUCCCUAGGUUACCUGGCCGGGCGGGCGGGAGGGGGCGGGGCGAAGAAUUCCCUCGCUAGCCAGCUCCAGGUUGCUAAGCGCUGUUAAGCAAGAAACGCAUCCAGAGACUCUUCCCAACUAGAUUAAAGCGAAAUCUCUGCGUUCUUACACAUAAGAUGACGCAACUUUUUUCAGACUACUGAUAACUCUGGAGCAAAACCUGAGGAAUAUGAUUUUUUCCUAUGUUGCACACGGCAUUUGACAAUUCGGAGAAGCUGAGGAAAAAGAACGACUUUUUUGUUUGUUUUUUUUCCAGACAGGGUUUCUCUGUGUAGCCCUGGCCGUCCCGGAACUCACUCUGUAGAAAAGGCUGGCCUCGAACUCAGAAAUCCAUCUGCCUCCCAAGUGCUGGGAUUAAAGGCGUGCGCCACCACUGCCCAGCAAGAAGGGCUUUUUUGGUUUAGUUUGGUUUGGUUUGGUUUGGUUUGGUUUGGUUUUUGGUUUUUUAAUAAUCAUGGGUACGGAUGACGAAAACGGUCAGAGAGGCAUGAGCAAUGAACAAUUCAAUAUACGCUGACCUUUAUACUCAAAGUGGUUAAGAUGAUAAAUUUUAUUAUGU
ensembl:processed_transcript